rnacentral:lncRNA from 1 species
GGAAAAUAUACUUUCCCGUCCUGUAGUGCUUCAAGUGAUGCUGAGGGCACAAUGUCACUGAAGUUUAGCUUAACAUUUUGAGAGGUAUUAUCUUGAUUAAUUAAACAAAACAUAACACUUUCUAGAUUGUGCACUUAAACCACCAGUAUCUCUUUGAAAUUACAGGAAAUUAAUGAACCUAAGAAAAGUAUGUACUUCUCUACAUCUUUUUAGUGGUACAAAGUAGACAUAACAGCUAUUGUUUUGGUUUGGGACUCCGAGAGUCUCAGUGCACUGUUGAAACUCCUUUCAUAAGGCUAAUAAGCAACAAUUCACUUUCUCAAGAAAGCAGAAAGCUGAGGAUCUGGGCCAUCCUCCACUCAAAUUUUGUGUGCACUGGAGUUAUGGAUUGAGUGAAGUAAAAACAAGUUGCCAAGAUGGUAUUGACAAACCAGAGGAGAGAACUUCAGAAGAAAACAGCCAUGGAGAUCAAAAUCAGGCUUCAGGUAGAGGACAACUGACUAGUCAUCAUUCUAUAUAAAAUCUGGAAGUGUGCAGUUAAGGUUGGAAAUACAGCAGAUAGUGAAGAAGCAGCAACAUGGCUUGACUCUGAAGGCUAGAUAUCCAGAUUUCUUAAGAUUGCCAGGAGCAUACAAACCUCUUUGCUGUAGUUUCCCUUGGAAAAAAAAGAGAGGUGCAAGUGAACAAUUUGCACUGAUACUAAAUUGAAGGGGUACAGGGAUGAAAAGAUAAAAAGGAGAAGCUAAAACAGAACUCAGGAGGAUCUAGAGCUGAGUUACAAGUUAGAGCAAUGCUGUAAGAUUGCAUUGUGUCGUGAGGCUGAUGACUCCUGGUGCUUUUGUUCAGUUUCUCUUGACACCUUGAAGAAAUAUCCUUGUCAUACCUGGUCUCAGACUUAUUUUAGCCCGAUGCCUGUGCUACACUGAAUCCUGAAAGAAACCCUGAAUCAAGAAGAACCUUAUUCGACUUGGCCAUAGCUCUCUUUCCAGUUUGCCCUAGCAGCUGCAGCCUCAGUUUGCAUAUUUCAAGUGUUGAUUAAAUGGGGAAAUAUUCUGACUCUGUCAUGAUUUAAUGUAUAUUUUAACAUACUGAGC